rnacentral:rRNA from 1 species
CGUGUAGGCGGAUCUUCAAGCCAGAUGUGAAAUCCGGCGGCUCAACCGUCGGCCUGCAUCUGAAACUGUAGAUCUUGAGUACGGAAGAGGGAAGCGGAAUUCCAGGUGUAGCGGUGACAUGCGUAGAUAUCUGGAAGAACACCGGUGGCGAAGGCGGCUUCCUGGUCCGAUACUGACGCUGAGGCGCGAAAGCUAGGGGAGCAAACAGGAUUAGAUACCCUGGUAGUCC